GACGAACGCUGGCGGCGUGCCUAGUACAUGCAAGUAGAACGCUGAAGAGAGGAGCUUGCUCUUCUUGGAUGAGUUGCGAACGGGUGAGUAACGCGUAGGUAACCUGCCUUGUAGCGGGGGAUAACUAUUGGAAACGAUAGCUAAUACCGCAUAACAAUAGGUGACACAUGUCAUUUAUUUGAAAGGGGCAAUUGCUCCACUACAAGAUGGACCUGCGUUGUAUUAGCUAGUAGGUGAGGUAACGGCUCACCUAGGCGACGAUACAUAGCCGACCUGAGAGGGUGAUCGGCCACACUGGGACUGAGACACGGCCCAGACUCCUACGGGAGGAAGCAGUAGGGAAUCUUCGGCAAUGGGGGCAACCCUGACCGAGCAACGCCGCGUGAGUGAAGAAGGUUUUCGGAUCGUAAAGCUCUGUUGUAAGUCAAGAACGAGUGUGAGAGUGGAAAGUUCACACUGUGACGGUAGCUUACCAGAAAGGGACGGCUAACUACGUG
rnacentral:rRNA from 1 species